AAUUAGCAGUGAAAACAAAUAGAGAUCUCUUUCUGCUUCGUUAGCAUCGAACAACGGUUGUCUCUCCUUCAAUGGCCAUGGGGAAAAAAAGGAAAAUCCACUGCAACACCUGGCCCAAAAUUGACACAAGCUGGCGUCAUUCCUUGCUGUUGCAGAAAUUUACAUAAUCUAGAUAAAGAUGCACAUGAUUUGCAUUGUAAAGAUUUCGAUUAUUGGAAACAUAAUCGUCCUAUCUUCGAAAUGAUGACUAACUACAAACCAGGCAUCCAACAAAACCACUCUCAUCUUAAUAUAAAUCAAUACAGACAUCAUUCAAAGCCAUUUGUGAGGACUCGAACAGUAAAUUUGCCUUUUUGUGCUAACUCUCCAGAAUUUCGGUUUGGAAUCUGCAGCAAUUGUUUCUAUGAUAAUUACUAUUGCUAGAAGUCAUUUGAAG